rnacentral:lncRNA from 1 species
CCUAUCUUCGUGCCAGGUAUACGCAUCUUAAGCUGGAUCCACACAACACAUCAGCCCACUUCUAUCGCCCGUGACCGUGGCGUCGCACGACCCGGAGUUUUCCGUUUCUUGAGGGCCACAGCGAUCUGAGGGUCGCCCCGCCAAAAAUGCCAACUUUCUCGCUGCAAGCCAAGUAAGGUAUUGAGGUGGACCGCGCAACUCUGGAGCAGCGAAUUUAUCUUGGUCUUGAAAAUGAGGAGACUCUUUACUUUCUUCGCACCCAAAAUGUUGUCAUUAAGUUUCCGCGGCCAGCAUAAGGUGCCUUUCUUUUGAGAAAGAGCAGGGCGCCCCGUACUGUACGUGUGUUCCGACUUUUCGACCCGUUGUAUGAAGGCUACCUGCAGACGGACCAAGUCGCGGCACUGCCGUCGGGCAAUUAAUGGGCCCACUGUCCAGGCCAUCGCGUGGAUCCAGCUCUAGCAACACCGCUGUUCUCGCUCAAAACACGAUCGUUAAUCGAACUGCAUGAGCGCCACGAGAACCCGAUUCACUUUCAUUGAGAGCCGGACGCACUGCGCACAGGGACCACUCGGUGACUGACUGAGGGGCGCGCGUGACGCAGCCCAGUGCGCCAGCUGUUUCGUUUCGGGUGAAGUGUAGGAGGUUGCAGCUACUUUGGUGCUACCUGAGUCGUCUCGUGCUAAGCAAUUUGCAGCGUUAACGGCAUGCAGUAGCCAAUUUCGCCCGAGUCUUUACCACGUUCAUCGUCAAACCCCCUUUUCGCAAACAAGUCAGUAUUACAUAACUCCUACGCCUCUUAGCAGUAAUGAGGGAAGGACGCUUCUCGAUGUUUGGCUUCUCUGCAUGUAGCCCUCAACUUUAAUGCGUCCAUCUGUGCGUUCGCCAUGUCACGCACCCUUUGCUCCCCAUUCCUGUCCCUCUCUUUCUCUCUCUGCAUUAUUUUCCGUAGGAGGAGGGAAGGGCAUUUGCCAGGGAACCAUAAGUGACGAAGGAUGGUGGCCCGAGUUAUUUGCGUUCGGAAACAUGUGACAAAGCUACCUUGUUCUCCUGGUGGCAGAGAGUAAUUGUCGUUAAGGUAUCUCAAAUGCCUCACGCCUGGUGUUAUCUGUCUUUCUUGAUUGUAUUUUUCUUUCUGCUUUUUCUUCCUAUUCAGUGAUUUUAUGUCGCGAACCACACUUCCCUUUUGUAAUUGGGAGGCUUGUAAUUUAAUCACCUUCUAGGCAAGACGUCCUCCUCGAUAGUGUUGCUAUGGCCUCCAGUCUCUGCAGCAAAUCAGCAAGUUAACUAAAUACACGUCUACCCCUCGUGUGAUUUGAUCGUCUUUCUGUUCGAGAAUAACUGUGUGCCUUCAAGUGCUUCUGACUAUGUGUGUUGCAGUGGGGUUCCGGUGUCAUUUUUGUGUAUUCAGUUGUAUGUUGCUUUAAGAAGUUAAAUGUAUACACGCACAUCCUGUACGCUCCCUCUGUGUAUCUGUCGUCUCUCCGCGAGUUGUGCCCUAUCGAUGAUUGUACAUAUCUAUUGAGGCAGUAGUCAACACAGCUGUUCAUUCACUGAAACGCGUAGGUAGGCAGGUGUUUUUCGUUUAUUACAGAUGACAUUUCGAUAUGUAUCACUCAAUUCACGUCACAAUGUUAGAGCGAGAAAAAAAGUUGAAGUGUGAUCCGAAGCACUGACCAUAACGAUUUCAGAUCGUGCUUUUUUUUUUCGUUGCAGAUGUGAGGCAGUUCAGAGUUUAAAUGCAUUCACGUCAUCGCUCUCGUUUCCAUGUUGUAAUUGCCGGCUCGUCCAAUGAGGUGAUAGCUUCUUACGGUUAUAUAUUCUCCCAAGCGUUCUCGAGAGAACACAUAUGUCACUGUACAAUAAUUGUUCACAUUUUUUCGUGGGCUUGAAUCACGGCGGACUCAGGCGGUACAGCGCUUUGCCACCACUGCACGAGAGUUGUGACAGCACAAUCGAUGCUCUCUUUGGGCUAAAACUGUCAAACAUGUUACUCUCUUGUCAUUCUUGGUUUCUCGCACGUGUACUGUGUACGCGUUUUCAGCCUUGUUCGCCGAGCAUGUGUAUGUGAAAAAGAAAACGUGGCACAUAGUUUGUUACUCCCACACAGAUUCGUGAAGAUAAAUGUGUUGAUUCUUCCUUUUCUUGUGACAUGCGGUUCAGUUGUUUGUAUCGAAAUGCCCGCGUCGUGUUGAUAACAAGCGUAUUCACUUGGAGGUGCUUGUUCGUCUAGCUAGUCUUCUUUUUCACUUCCUUUCUCCUUGCUGGUGUCGGUUGCUGCAGUGUAGCAGCAGAAAACAGCUGUGGGCAAACUCUGAGUUUGUUAAGAUAUUUAGCCAUACUUUGAGGAAUAAUUGAGUCACUUGCGAUAGCGAAAGCUUUUCCUCUAACGUCGGUGUGCACACUGUCGUCGAAGCGUUCUCUUAGAGGUUUCUUUUCGUUUAUUUCACUACGUCAACAAACGUAAUCCGAAGCUUUCUCAUUAGGAAUAAGUUGCAGAAGCUGCACGAUUUUACCACAACAAUGUAAAAAACAACGCAAAAAGCGCGGAAGGUUAUGUAUUGAACGGAAGUACAAAAAAAAAGUGCGCUUUCACCUCUGCAAUGUAUCAUACAGUCCAGGUGACACACCCCGAGCAUCCGCAGGCAUAACGCUGCUGAACUUCUGUGUAACCCUUGUUUUAUUUUGUCGUAGAAGUGAUAAAUAGAUAGGUGCGUACAAAACUGAACCAGCUAGAGUUAAAUCACCAGUAGAAAUGACAGGAGCUCUAAGUCUCUCUUCGUGUUUCCCGCAGUCCCUCUGUCACCCUUUCUGUGACUGUCAUUGACCCAACUUAUUUUACAUACUGUUCCCAACUAAGUUCAUAGCACUCAUGGAAUGUGGCGAGUUCGUUUAUGUAUUUAGCACUUUUUGGCUUGCCCGAUUACGGGCACAGGACUGCCUACGGGUCACGCGAAAAUCGGGGGGUAAUGAGCGUGCGACACAGAAGAGACGCCGUCGUAGCUGUGAGAAAGCCUCCAGCGUCACAAAACGUGACCCUACAGUUUUCUCUCUUCGGUGACGCCAGUAUUCCCCGUUACAGCCAUCGCCUUUUCGUGCGGAGAAAAGCAGCUGCACCCAAGCUUGGCAGGUUUACCUGGGACAUUUAUUUUUCUAUGCACGCAUAUGUUCCUUGUAGUUAAUUAAAAGUGACAUGCGCUACAGAGGCCUUAAAUGCACCGAAUGCGCUUCUCAGUUUUGUCUCCGAAAAUUCUGGACGGAUUGCACACACUUUCGUCUUUUUCGCGUACUUGCUUUUGUUUGUUUUCUUAUCUUUGAAAAUAUAGCGACGCCAUUCCUUGUAUCGAAUUCUUUAACCGCCCCACGCACUUUCUCCUCCUCACUCGACAGCGCCAUAAGGGAAAAAAAUGAAGCAAACGGGCGGAAUUUAAAUUUCAUCGGUGCCACGUCGUUCGCUCAUAUGCAACGCCUCAUUUUCCAUGUCAGCCAAACGACUGCAUUCGUUGUACAAAAGAGCCUUCUGUUUCCGUUGCCACCGCAGUAGUUCUCGACAGGCGUGGACUGUAGGUGACAAAACGUUCUGGAAGGGCAGUGCUAAACACGCAUGUCCAGGCGACUGUCUAUCUAUAUACUGGUUCAAUGGUGCAAUACACUCUGCACACGCGCGCAUGCAUAUGUGUGUACGUGUGGUAUACAUAUGAAUAUAUUAUAUACAUAAAUAUACAUAUAAUAUAUACACGCACACGCGCAACCUUUAGUUCCGAGUCGUUUCCGGCGUUGUCGGCGAGCGCAGCAAAGGGCGUUGGCGCGAAAGGCGAAGCGCGCUUCUGGUCGAGAGGGCACCGCGCGCGUGCGUUCGCGCGAGAAGCUUCAGUUGCUGCGCUGCCAAAGAAAAAAAAAACUGUUCCCACCCUCACCUAUCCCCGUAUCCUAAACUCCACUAACCACUGCGGGUGUGUGUACAUACGAUGCUCGAAACUCAGAUAUCCCCUCUUUCUCUCGUUCGGAAAUAUCAUCCGUGUAUAGUGGACCGUGCUGUGGCCGUUAGCUCUAUUUUUUCAUACAUUAUUUUCUCCGCGACAUGCACCGAAAGGGCAGACAUGUCGCUUCGAUGCAUCACUCGCCAGAACCGGCGGCACUUCGCGCCGUCGGCGCGAAACCACGCUCAUUCAUGUCUGCACACGCCUGUUAACAAGUGCAUGAUUGUUUUCUGUUGUACUCGUCCCGUUUCUUCUUUUCCGCGUAUCUCUCUUUCUCUCGUGUAAUGCGUUUCUUUCCAAAUAAAUUUAUUACAUCACCUGUUCA